rnacentral:lncRNA from 1 species
GAAAUGGUAUCGUGGAGAACCGAGUUCGGGUUUCAAGUAUCCGGAUUUGGGGUCGCCACAGGUGUGGCAAGCCACUAGAGAAUGGUCCUCGCAGGUAUCUUUGAAUAGUAAAACUAAUAAUUGUACCCACGUCGAUGAGAAAAUCUUGGAUGAUGGCAUAUAAGAGUAGUAUCUUCUCCUUGGUCACUUCUGUUAAGUGUGUGGAAGGAAAUAGCUUGGCGCAUAUAAACGCAUACCAUAUCUUUCCGUACCGGCUGAGAUCCUUACUAUGGAAGAUAGUUCUCCCUUUUCGGCCCUUGACCUAUGUGGUACCCGGCUUUGUAAUUUUUGUCAGAAUAGCCUCGUAGUCAAGAUCAUGGUCACGUAAGUAAGCAAACUGGCACUCUCUAGGAACUCACAAUUGGUAGUACGUGUUGAUGGCGUUGGCAAUGAAAGGAACUUGCCUGCCCUGGACAAAUGUUGUGAAUGGGGCCUUAUCCUCUGCAUUAGCGUAGAAUUCUUUUACCACAUUCACAAUUGCUGGUUCGGGCUCUUUCGUGAACUUUUUCCACCCUUUCUCAUAGAUUUGUUGCAUCAUUUCACCGUCGACGUGUUCAGGUGCCAACCCCCGCUCGGGUGUGAGUGCCUUUGUCACAAGAUAGUCGUAACGGUCGACGGCGGCGGCACUUAUGAAUUUUUGCCUAUCAAAGAUCCAGGUUGGUGGUGUAGACCCU